ACAGACUCUUUGAACUGACAAAUACAUUAAAAACAGCAUUUGUCCCCAGUGAAGACAACAAGCGCCUUACGCACAACAUUGUUACAGCAGUAGCAGUCUCAAGCGUUAUAUACUCCUUAUCUUUCAUAUUCCUAAAAGUUCCUCAGAUGUUGGUUUGAGAAUUCAAUCAUGUAAAUACAGUAUAGAAGGCUGCUGGGUUCUGUAAAAGUUCUUGAACACAUAGAAGAGUACUGUUCCACUGCAAGAGUUGUCUCCAUAACAAAAACCGAGAAAUGGAUUCUUCUGCAGCCUGUCACUUGGUUACUAAGGGAAAAAUCAGAUCUUGGUAAUAGUAAUAUAUUUUGGGUCAUUUUGUAUAUGAAAAGUGGUAAUGGAUAUAGCCUCCAACCCAGGGGUGGUUCUUGUCACGUUUUAACAUUAUCCUACCCACUACAGUAAAAUGAUUAUAAGUGUAAUAUACUAGUAUAUCAAAUGUGACUCAAGACUUGUUUUCAUUGGAUUAAUUUGUAUUGUCAAGAGCAUGUGAUUUUUACUUUUACUGGCUUUAGGCAAUAUAAACUGAAUUGGCACUACAUUGGGUCUCCUUCAGGUUAACCAUGUAUCAUAUCAUGCCAUGUUUAUUUUGGACC